rnacentral:rRNA from 1 species
UACGUAGGUGGCAAGCGUUGUCCGGAUUUACUGGGCGUAAAGAGCGCGCAGGCGGUCGACCAAGUCGCGUGUGAAAGCCCCCGGCUCAACUGGGGAGGGUCACUUGAUACUGAUCGACUCGAAGGCAGGAGAGGGAAGCGGAAUUCCCGGUGUAGUGGUGAAAUGCGUAGAUAUCGGGAGGAACACCAGUGGCGAAGGCGGCUUCCUGGCCUGUUCUUGACGCUGAGGCGCGAAAGCUAGGGGAGCAAACGGG